rnacentral:rRNA from 1 species
UACGUAGGGGGCAAGCGUUGUCCGGAUUUAUUGGGCGUAAAGAGCGUGUAGGCGGCCAGAUAGGUCGGUUGUGAAAACUGGAGGCUCAACCUCCAGACGUCGACCGAAACCAUCUGGCUAGAGUCCGGAAGAGGAGAGUGGAAUUCCUGGUGUAGCGGUGAAAUGCGCAGAUAUCAGGAGGAACACCGGUGGCGAAGGCGGAUCUCUGGGCCUUACCUGACGCUCAGGUGCGAAAGCUAGGGGAGCGAACAGG